rnacentral:rRNA from 1 species
GACGAACGCUGGCGGCGUGCUUAACACAUGCAAGUCGAACGGAAAGGCCCUGCUUUUGUGGGGUGCUCGAGUGGCGAACGGGUGAGUAACACGUGAGUAACCUGCCCUUGACUUUGGGAUAACUUCAGGAAACUGGGGCUAAUACCGGAUAGGAGCUCCUGCUGCAUGGUGGGGGUUGGAAAGUUUCGGCGGUUGGGGAUGGACUCGCGGCUUAUCAGCUUGUUGGUGGGGUAGUGGCUUACCAAGGCUUUGACGGGUAGCCGGCCUGAGAGGGUGACCGGCCACAUUGGGACUGAGAUACGGCCCAGACUCCUACGGGAGGCAGCAGUGGGGAAUAUUGCACAAUGGGCGGAAGCCUGAUGCAGCGACACCGCGUGCGGGAUGACGGCCUUCGGGUUGUAAACCGCUUUCGCCUGUGACGAAGCGUGAGUGACGGUAAUGGGUAAAGAAGCACCGGCUAACUACGUGCCAGCAGCCGCGGUGAUACGUAGGGUGCGAGCGUUGUCCGGAUUUAUUGGGCGUAAAGGGCUCGUAGGUGGUUGAUCGCGUCGGAAGUGUAAUCUUGGGGCUUAACCCUGAGCGUGCUUUCGAUACGGGUUGACUUGAGGAAGGUAGGGGAGAAUGGAAUUCCUGGUGGAGCGGUGGAAUGCGCAGAUAUCAGGAGGAACACCAGUGGCGAAGGCGGUUCUCUGGGCCUUUCCUGACGCUGAGGAGCGAAAGCGUGGGGAGCGAACAGGCUUAGAUACCCUGGUAGUCCACGCUGUAAACGGUGGGUACUAGGUGUGGGGUCCAUUCCACGGGUUCCGUGCCGUAGCUAACGCUUUAAGUACCCCGCCUGGGGAGUACGGCCGCAAGGCUAAAACUCAAAGGAAUUGACGGGGCCCCGCACAAGCGGCGGAGCAUGCGGAUUAAUUCGAUGCAACGCGUAGAACCUUACCUGGGUUUGACAUGGAUCGGGAGUGCUCAGAGAUGGGUGUGCCUCUUUUGGGGUCGGUUCACAGGUGGUGCAUGGCUGUCGUCAGCUCGUGUCGUGAGAUGUUGGGUUAAGUCCCGCAACGAGCGCAACCCUUGUUCACUGUUGCCAGCACGUUAUGGUGGGGACUCAGUGGAGACCGCCGGGGUCAACUCGGAGGAAGGUGGGGAUGACGUCAAGUCAUCAUGCCCCUUAUGUCCAGGGCUUCACGCAUGCUACAAUGGCUGGUACAGAGAGUGGCGAGCCUGUGAGGGUGAGCGAAUCUCGGAAAGCCGGUCUCAGUUCGGAUUGGGGUCUGCAACUCGACCUCAUGAAGUCGGAGUCGCUAGUAAUCGCAGAUCAGCAACGCUGCGGUGAAUACGUUCCCGGGGCU